GUUCAGUCGACGUCCCCUUCCAAUUUUAGUGUAUUUUUAGAAAUAUUGCAUGGAAAAUACUUCGUCAGAAAAAAAUAAACUUUUACCUUGAUACAAUAUGGAUAAUAAUCCCAUAAUGAAAAUGAGCAAAGGCUGUUGGAAAUUUGAUGAAGAUGAUCGAGCAUUAUAUAUAGACAUUGAAGAAAAUACUGAAGAAGAGAAAGAAAAUAAAAUAUAUAGCUGUUGGGAUCAAACACCUGAUAUACUUUUAGAAGAAAUUUUUUCUUAUUUAACUAUUCGUGAAAGAUAUUAUGCAUCUUUGGUAUGUAGGUCAUGGUAUCGUGCUUUUAAAUUACCAAAAGUAUGGUCUACGUUUACAUUAGAAGACACCACUCUUACUAGAGGCAAAUUUAAUUAUCAUAGCGGUUGGCAAUAUGUUUUGGAUCAUAUGAGAACUUCCACAUGUUUGAAUAAAGUUGGAAGAAAUUUUAGAUCUCUUGUUUUUGAACCAAUGUUGAAUUUUUAUAAUCUCUAUGAAUUUAUGAACAUGAUAUCAUGGUACACUGAAAAACAAGGAUCAGAUAAUACAUCAGUGGCAGGAGUUGGUACUUAUAUUCGACGACUUAAAUUUACAUUUCCUUGUAACAUGGCAAACAGAGAUGAUCCUGAUAGCAUUAGAAUUUUUGGUACUGGUGGAAAAUUAUUAGAAGCAUUGAAAAGAUUGAUGCGUAAUUUAUAUAAUUUGAAAUGCUUAGAGUUGAUAGAUCUCAUGUUAGAUAGUAAAGAAGCUUUACAUUUAAUGGAUGAUAUCUGUGCAAAUUGUACUCAGACAUUAUCAAAAUUGGUUUUAAUUAAUACUACAAGGUAUCAUUGCCCUCUUUUACAUGUAGGAGUAUUUAUUAAUUUAAAUGUAUUAGUUAUUAGUCCUCAAAAUCUUCACGAAGAUGUAAUAGAUUUAAUUGGAUAUACUAAAUUGCAACAUCUUCAUAUUGUUCAAAAUUGUUAUAGUCCAAAAGAUGCUACAGUGAGAUUGCCUUCAAGAAAAUCUUGGAUAAAGAUGAAAAGAAACAAUCCUCACAUUAAAGUUCACUUUGAAGUGGAAAGUCAUAAGUCUACAGAUACACUUUUGCCCAUUGAUUUAUUAGAACAUGGGAAUAUUCCAUGUCACAGUAUUGUUUUAGAUAUUCCAAAUACACAGAUUUCAUCUUCAACUAUUCUUAAUCAUGGAACAUUUUUUGAAUCAACAAUAAAGGUGUAUGCGUUUAAAGGUCUAAGCAGAUAUUUUGUGCCCAGAAAUUUUUCUCAAAGAUUGGAUGAAGCACUAGUACAAUUUUGCAAAAUGUGUCCAAACCUUCAUACACUGGUAUCACUUUGUGUUUGACUGAAUUUCUGAUGUGUAUUGUCACUUUUUAAAAUCACUAUGAUUUUAACAAAAACUCUUAAUGAUGUGUGAUAGCAUGCAUUCAAAUUUUUGUUAUACAAAAUUAUUUAUUAUUAUUCGUCUUCUAUGGAUCUAUUUAUGUACAUAUGUUGUGUGGCAAUAUAUCACUGAUUUGUCAAUAGUACAUAAGACAAGAGAUUUAAAUUCAGAUCAAUGAUUGUAUCAAUGACUUGGAAGCCAAUCAGUGGGAGACAAAUAUUUUACCAUGACACAUUUAAUAAUUGCCUGGGUUAAUAACUGGUCUUUGAACGAAUAAUACUUCAUACAAUUACAUUAAUCCACGGAUUGGUUUCCUUGGUAUUUUUUAUCCUUUCAUACAGCUAAUAACAUUUAUCAAAUAACUUCCUUUCAAAUAACUAACUCAUAAAAAAAGUUUAGUAAUUUGAAUUCAUAAUUUAUCAGACUUGUAUAUACGAUAAAUGUUUCCCUGCAGAUGAUUCGAGAUAAAAUUUCAACGGCCACCAUUUUAGAAAUUGUAUCUACAGCAAAGAAUUUACGUUGUUUAUAUGUCCGAAGAUAUUCAAUUUUAAAAAAAUGUGAUGGGG